UUGUAUAUAGUAUUUCUCUGUGGUAAAGAAUCCACCUCCACCUCCGGCCGCGCCCCCUCCUCCGGCGGCGCCAGUCUCCCAAUCCCCUCACCGCCGCCCGCGCUCGUGCCGUGCCCGUGCGUACUGUCCCCUCUCGGGGCACCUUCCACCUUGCCGUUGCCGUCGCCGUCCUCCCCGUCGUUGGCCGGCGGGAAUGGCGUGACCGGCGGCGUCGCCGACGCUGACACCAAGGACUGGGUGGACAUCGUGGAGACCCCCGGCGAGAACAGCUUCCUUCUUGGUGCCCCCGGCUUCUCCAAGCCAGGCCCGGCGCUGGAGGUCGCGCCCCGAGCGUCUCUUCCCUGGGCGAGCUUCGCUUGCAGGCUGGUCCAGGCAGUGGAGGCGGCCACGCCUCGGGCCUUGCCUCUCAGCAGAAAGCCGAGCGGUGUAGGCGAGCCAUGGCACCAACGACAAGGAGAAUGAUGGCGGGGGCGGCGGCGGCGGCGGCCAAGCUCCUCGGCGCCGGCACUGGCUGCUCCGGGGUCAUUCGAGGUGCGGCGCCGGCGGGUGGGCGGCGGGUGGACGAGUCGCCGGAUCUCAUUCUACGUCUCCCGCGCCUACUUCCUCCUCCUCAUCCUCCAGAUCCCCGCUCUUCAGCAAGCAAGGAGACAGGUGAGGGACGGAGGAGCCGCAGCUUCAAGGAACAGGCAGUUAGAGAGUUUGGUCGAGGAUAAGACUAGGCAAAAGGAAGCAGAAUUCGGAAGAGAUUUUUUAUUAUAGCUCUUCUAUAUUAUACCUGAGUUGUUGAUGCUAUAAUGCUGUAAUUUCAGUUGAUACAAUUGAUAUUAAUAAUGGGCCUAAAAAAUAUAUCAGCUUA